AUUGAACGCUGGCGGCAGGCCUAACACAUGCAAGUCGGGCGAGUGGCGGACGGGUGAGUAAUGUAUGGGGAUCUGCCCGUUGGAGGGGGAUAACUACUGGAAACGGUAGCUAAUACCGCAUACCAUCAUUUGAACCCAUAUGGGAUUAGCUUGUAGGUGAGGUAACGGCUCACGUAGGCGACGAUCCCCAGCUGGUCUGAGAGGAUGAUCAGCCACACGGGAACUGGAACACGGCCCAGACUCCUACGGGUGGAAGCGGUGGGAAAUAUUGCACACUGGGGGCAAGCUGAAUGCAGCCAGGCCGCGUGUAUGAAGAAGGCUUUCGGGUUGUAAAGUACUUUCAGUCGGAAGGCGUUACCGACAGAAGAAGCACCGGCUAACUCCGUGCCAGCCGCCGCGGUAAUAC
rnacentral:rRNA from 1 species